rnacentral:rRNA from 1 species
GGGGAAUAGUGCACAAUGGGGGAAACCCUGAUGCAGCAACGCCGCGUGAGUGAUGAAGGCCUUCGGGUUGUAAAGCUCUGUCUUCGCUGACGAUAAUGACGGUAAGCGAGGAGGAAGCCACGGCUAACUACGUGCCAGCAGCCGCGGUAAUACGUAGGUGGCAAGCGUUGUCCGGAAUUACUGGGCGUAAAGGGUGCGUAGGCGGUUCAUUAAGUGGGAUGUGAAAUACCCGGGCUUAACCUGGGAACUGCAUUCCAAACUGGUGAGCUAGAGUGCAGGAGAGGAAAGUGGAAUUCCCAGUGUAGCGGUGAAAUGCGUAGAGAUUGGGAGGAACACCAGUGGCGAAGGCGACUUUCUGGACUGUAACUGACGCUGAUGCACGAAAGUGUGGGGAGCAAAC